rnacentral:misc_RNA from 1 species
UUUUUUUUUAUUCUUUUUUUUUUCCCAGAGCUACGUUCUUCUGCCAAAUUCCAAAUUUACCUUCUUUUCGUCCCUGCAAUUACAAGCCUACCUUCCACCUUCUGUCUCUGGCUUCUACAACCUCCCAUCGGGGGCGGCGGCGGCUCGGCGUCUUAUUGGCUCUUGCCAACGAACCGAGGCGACUCCCUUGCUUUCUCCUCCGGACUCACCCCCGCCGAAGAAGCUGAAGACCAUGUCGGAAAUAUUGGCCAAGGCAAAGUACGCUGUCGUGGAGCGAGCUGACUACAACGACGUGAGCUGCGAGCAAUGCGGCUCCGGUGACCUGCCUGAUGAACUCCUCUUGUGUGACAAAUGCGAUAAGGGAUUUCCCAUGAAAUGCGUGAGGCCAAUUGUUGCAAGAGUCCCGAUUGGAUCUUGGCUCUGCCCUAUGUGCUAUGGCCAGAGACGAGGCUUUCACAGAAGAAGAUAAUUGAUUUUUUCAGGAUUCGGAAUGGUAAUUGUAAGAAAGAUAAAUGCAGUUCUCUUCAAGAGAUGAGAAAGUGCCGAAGACGGUCUGGAUCACUGGUGUAUCAAAAGAAAAGGCGGAGAUUGUUGCCUUUUAUUCCAUCAGAAGAUCAUUCCGAAAGGCUGAAACAAAUGGGCAUCCUUGCUUCUGCAUUGACGGCAUUACAAAUGGAGUUUAGUGAUGAUCUAACCUACAUGCCUGGCAUGGCUUCUAGAUCUGCCAAUCAGGCAAAGUUUAAAGAGGGUGGCAUGCAGGUUCUUUCCAAAGAGGAUACAGAGACAUUGGAACAAUGUAGAGCUCUGUGUAUGAGAGGCGAAUGCCCUCCCCUUAUAGUGGUUUUUGAUUCAUGUGAAGGAUUUACAGUUGUGGCAGAUGGCCAGAUAAAAGAUAUGACACUUAUAGCAGAAUACACAGGCGAUGUGGAUUACAUUAGAAACCGUGAACAUGAUGAUUGUGAUAGUAUGAUGACCCUUCUCUUAGCAAAAGACCCAUCUAAAAGUCUUGUCAUCUGCCCUGAUAAACGCGGAAAUAUUACUCGCUUUGUCAAUGGCAUUAACAACCAUACUCUGUAAGCCUGUAUAAAUUAUUGCUUCUCCAUAUUCUGACUAAAAAAUUUGUCUAAAUAUUCUUCUGCUUUUGCCUCAUUUCGGCCUUUCUUCUGCUAGGUUUCAAUUGCAAAACAAGCUAUCCAGCCCAUGCUCCAAUAAAAUUCUACAUUUGUUUGUUUUCUUGUGUCGUGAUUGUGUUAGAAUUAAGAAAUAUUAAGUCUAUCAUCCACAAAGCUUGAAAUAUAUCCAAUUUUGUGCAGGGAUGGUAAGAAGAAGCAGAAUUGUAAAUGUGUGAGAUACAGUGUAAAUGGUGAAUGCCGGGUAUUUUUGGUUGCUACUCGUGAUAUUGCUAAAGGAGAGAGGCUAUACUAUGAUUAUAAUGGAUAUGAGCAUGAAUAUCCUACUCAACAUUUUGUCUGAGAAACUUAUAGAUAGUUGUCUGAUAGUUCAACAGAACUAGUAUUUGGAUCCUCAUAGAUGCUUUCUCAUCGGCAUAUAAUUUCACAGCUUAAUCAAUGUUGUUGCGGAGUUGAAAAAAUCUCUUCUAAUGUACUCUUUGGCCUUUUACAGUAAUUUAUGUAGAGCUACCUGUCAUGAGGCCAUGAGAAAAUUUAGAGGAGGCAAGAAAGGUUUCCCUUAGAAUUUAGACAUGAAAUUUUGAUAUCCUAGAAAUAUUUUUAGGAAAAAGAAUCCUUUUGUAAUAGAGAUUUCAAUUGAAAUCUUUUCUUUUACUGGGUGACUCUCAUUUGCUCUGCUUUUGUUUAAUUCAUAAUUUGGUCGUCUCUUACAGAAAUCUCAUGAAGAUAUUAAAAUUUCGUCCACUUGCUCCCUAACACAUCUAAGAAUUUUGACCUUUAAAUUGGAAAUAUGACUAACAUUUUAUUGUUGUUUGUUUCUAUUGAACUUAUAUUUGAGGUGUUCCCCCUUGUUCUUGUUGGAAAAAAUAGAAUUCCAUGGAUUUUGACCCAUGGACAUGCAUAAACCCAUAAACCCAUGCUUGAAUCCCUGAUAGGGGCAUAAUCACAUUGAAAAUGGAUUAUACCUAUAAUUUCAUAGCCUAAGUAUUCCUGUUUUACAGAUAACUCACACAGAAUUUCUCCAAGAAAGAUAUAGAAAGAGAAAGGACCUUAAGUAGAUAGCUUAAGUGACAUAUUUCAUAGAAUCUUGCUUGUUCACCUUCUUGAUUUUGAUUUUCUUGGGUCAAGGUCACACAUGGAAGUAGGAGAAAAAUUCACAUUAUGCAGUCUUUUUUUAUCAGUUGAGAUUGGUUUUUCUUUUUUAUUUGAUUAAGAGUUAUGUACUCUUUAGGGUCCUUUUUUCAUACUGACAUUGUAACCUUCGCUAUUGUGCAGUAAUUCCAUAUCCACUGAUAUGGACCUAGACCAGGUUGGCCCAUCAUGGGUGAACCAGAUUUAUUCCAACAGUUAUGUUUUUAAUGUUCUAGAUUCUUCCCUUGGAAUCCAGGAGAUGUAUCAUUUUCUUUUCAUUUCAGUUUCUAAUCUAUAAUCUACUUUUCAACUUUCACAAAAAUAGUCUCAAGAUAUAAUGCUUAGCCAUGGGGUAGAUUCAAAGGCAUCCUUUAAAGCUGCAAAGUUAAAUAAUUAACUGGAAGCUCUGGGACGUGUGAGCUGCUCUGUGCAUCAUGUUGCUGCCACAGCUUGAAUUUACCGGACAGUCAUGUCCAUGGUUUGGAACUUGUGUUUGCCUUCCAUGCACAAGGAGCUUAUGUUACCUGUUCAAAAGGAUUAGUUAUGCUGCUGCAUCUACCCUUAUCACUGGCCCAGUCAAGGUAUUGAAACUUACUCUAUUAAUAGGCAUUGGCGUUUCAAUUCUUUCAAUGUAUCUGCUCAAGAAUAUGGAUCUUUGGUACUUAAACUUGAUUAGCAGCACUGUUGUUGAGAUGGAUGAGAUAAUUUACUUAUUUUGAAGGAGGUUGUAGUUGGAGGUGGUUCCAAUUGAUGAGACAAUAGGUAAAUGCUGCUUUUUACUUCACUAUAGUAUUGCAGUAAGAAUUCAUUAUUUGUAUCAGAAUAUUUUUUUUCUUAGUUGGAAGAAAUGCUUUUAGCUUGAUCAAUCCUCUUUUUAUACUCGAGAAACCAUAUAUAUGUGACAUCAUCAUAUUUUCUCUGAUGAUCAUGGAGAAAAUGUCAAUUGCAGAUUACCUUUCCUGGAGAAAGGGAAGGAGAUAAAAGGACCUUUCUUUAAAGUUAGGUGCUUCCUAGGGUAAAUAUCGAGGAUGUUUAUUGACAUGGUAAAGUUUUUUAAUAACAUUGCAGUACUCCCACAAAGCUAUAGCACAAAUUCUGAAAUGUCUGAAAAUGUUCUCAUUUUCUAGCAUAGAGUUUGCUUAUUGAAAAGAACGGUCUGUGAGACACCAUGGAUCAGCAUCAAUGAUCUUGGCCACAUCGUUCUGCAUUUGCAUUUUUCUUUUCCAAAAGCUCUGAUGCUUCGAUAAAAGAUGUUUUAUUCCAAAUGAGGAAUAUCAUUUACAAUAAAUCCUUAAUCAGAUGUUAUUUUCUUUUCAGGUUCUUAAGAUUUAAGUUGUGCAUCCAAAGCUGUUGUUUAAAUGACGCCAUUGCUGUUUUUGCUUCUGUAGUGAAUGCAAAGAUUACUUCUGGAAGCUGGUCUUAGAUUUCUGGGCAAUUAAAGGUGAUGACAGCUACAGAUCUGUGCAGUAAAAGCAAAUGCAAUACUUGUACAUGAAUUGAAUUAUGCAUGCUUUGUUUUUAGGGGGUACUGGCACUGCAUGCUUUGUUCAUAUAAUGUCAAGCUGAGCAUCUGCUUCAAUUCUACCAUUCCUGUUGGCAUAAUUGAGUUGAUUGAUUAUCUAAUGUCACUUUAAAAUCUUCCUUUUGUAAAUUUUGGUGUAUGAUCUAAUCGUAAUCCUUCUUGUGUGAGAACAUAUAUUAUUUCUGGGCAACUUACAAAAUGACUAGUGAGGCAUGAUUGUAAUUAUGGCUUACUCUUCACUUUUUCAAUUUUAAUUUUUUUGGGUUCAAUUCCAU